GAAUAUUUUGAAUAAAAGAAUAUUUUAGAUGGCUUUUACCUUCUGAACAAGUUCUGUGUAAUCCUAACGACGUCUUUUCUGUACUUAAUCGUCAGUAAUCUUCUGUCCAAAAUUGAAUAAAGCCUCUUUCAGGAACAAACUUGAAAAUUGAAAAUCUUUACUUUUCUGGCAAAACAAAAAUAGCGUCUAGUAGCAUUCAGUGCAAUUGCGAUAAUGCGGGCGCAACUUGACGCUUGUUGAAAGUUAGCAUGCACUUUAACCUCAUUGGUCAAUUAAAAUAUUUGUGGCCAAUGAUAAUUAGUAUUGACCCUGAUCAUGCCAUGACCAUGCUGACCUUGACUGCCUGUAAUCGAAAACUUGCAUAAUUCCUAGACAAAGACCAUGGAAAUUUUCGGUUUCUUAUUACACCAUUGAUAAGAAAUAAAACCUACACAAGUUGAAACAGUAGCC
rnacentral:lncRNA from 1 species